GGCUCUAUCCUCUCUCUUCAUCUUUCUUUCUUGGGUCUUUUAAUUAAUUAAUUAGUGCAGAAGGAGAAGAUUUAUACAAUUAAACCAAAAAUGAUGAAAAGGACAAGCUCACAUGAGCCGAACCAGAUCAUUCAUGGGCCCCUACGUAUUAUCCUUCUCUCUCAAUUCUCAAUCUCAUGGGUCUUUCUUUCUUUCUUUCUUUAAUAGCUGAAAAUAAAGCAACCCACAUUAUAUUUCUUUCUGCUUCAUUUAGAGAGAGAAGCUUCGAGGAGGGAAAUAUGACUUAGAAGAAGCGAAAACCCUCACUCUUUCUUCUCCCUGUCCAGUGGUAUCCACAGGUCAAUCGUCAAUAACAAAAUUAUUGCUCUUUCUGAUUUCUAGUGAAUUAUCCACAGCUUGUCUUGUUUAGGGUUUUUGAUCACUUAUCUCCUUGGUCAAAGAUGAAGGCACCGACUGUUUGGUUGUACUAAAACAGCUUCCCUUUCUAGCUUCACAGAUCUUGAAUCCAAAUCUUCCAACCGAGAAACCAAAUCUUUUACAGGUGAUUAGCUCUUUGUUUUACUUCAUUUUUCUAUAAUUGAACUCCUCUUCUAUACAUACCUUUUUUCCCGAUUUUCCCCCAUUCUUGUGGUUGGAUUUUUAUUCUUAAAGAUCUAUUUUUGAUAAGAAGCUUCAAAAUUCAAGGUGGGUCAUCAUGAACUUUGUUGAACAAGAAAGAGGGUAUUGUGACAAAGGAGAACAAGGGCCAGAAGAAGAGGAGGAAGAAGAAGAAGAGGAGGAAGAAGAAGUGACGAUGACAAGUAAGCUUCCUUUUCCUUCUCCUUCAUCUUCCUCUUCUUCUUCCACAAAGUACAGAAAUUUCCUACCCGAAAACCAAAACUUAUGGCUUGGGUCAUCCAAUUCUCAACAAGAUUACAAAAACCAAGAACCAUCUCUUAAUUUUGAAAACAAACUAGAGCUCAUGGACCUAUCACUAGGAAAUGACAAUGGAACUGUUAAUACAAGUAGCGGCGGUGGUGGUAGUACUGGCCAUGAGUCUAUAGAGAGAGAACACAUGUUUGAUAAAGUAGUGACCCCAAGCGAUGUAGGGAAGCUAAACCGACUUGUGAUACCAAAGCAACAUGCAGAGAAGUACUUUCCUCUUGACUCAUCAUCAAACGAAAAAGGCCUCCUUUUGAAUUUUGAAGACCGGAACGGCAAGCCAUGGCGGUUCCGUUACUCUUAUUGGAAUAGCAGCCAAAGCUAUGUGAUGACGAAAGGAUGGAGUCGUUUUGUUAAGGAAAAGAAGCUUGAUGCAGGUGAUAUCGUGUCGUUUCAACGCGGUGUUGGUGAGUGGAAACACCGUUUGUAUAUAGACUGGAGACGCAGGCCUAAUGCACCAGAUCCAACAUCGUUUACUCAUUUAGAGCUGCAAAAUCAGUUACACUUCCCACAGUCGGUGAGGUGGGGCAGACUUUACUCGUUGCCUCAGCCUUUGUCGUCUAUGCCGCGACCAUAUGAACAACACCACCACCAAUUUCAGAAUUUGGGUUACAGUAUUCAUCAGCAACCGUAUCAUCAUCAGUAUCAUCAUAAUUAUCACCAUCAUCAUCAUCAUCAUCAUCAACAGCCGCAGUAUUACUUGAGGCCGCAAGGCGGAGCACUGCAAAUUGGGGCAUUAUUGCACAAUCAACAAGAAGGAGGAGAUCAUCAACCACAAAUGGUGAUUGAUUCAGUUCCAGUUGUUCAUGGUAGAAGUGUGGGAAAGCGAUUAAGGCUUUUUGGUGUAAACAUGGAGUGUUCAACGCAAGAUGAUCAAUCUUCUCCUUCUUCUUCUUCAGUUACCAUACCAACAAUGAUGGGUUCAUUUUCACCUCAUUUCACUGCAGCAAAUUCUUCCUCUUCUGUCCCGCCUCUCCAGUCGAGAGUAGUAGUGGCCAGUCCCAGUAGUGCCUCAACGCCAAUAAAUACUCAAGCUCACGAUCAGUUUCCAAAGAAAGGAAAGACUUCCUUAUCUUUUGAUUUGGAUCUUUGAUCUUUGAUCACAUACAUAGAAUCUAUAUAUGAUCAAGAGACGAAGAAGCUAGAUACAAUAUUUUCUUUUUGUUACCUCCACAUCUAAUUAAUUUUGCCAUGGGUACUGAAUGUUGAUAAAAAUUCAGUCUUUUAUCUUUAUUUUUGGCUUUAUUUUCCUUUCUUUCUUUAGUUAAUUUGUUUUAGUUUACUAGUGCAUAUAUCUCAGUGUAAUUAGCUGAGAUUGGGGCUUGUGAAGAGGAAGAACAAGAGAAGUGCAACAAAUAUAUAUAUAUACAUGUGGAGUUGAUGAAAAUCCCUUUUCUUCUGAUAACUGUGUAUACUAUAAUAAUAUUAUAUAUAGAAAAAUAAUUUAAAUAUGAGCAUAUUUCCAUGGUGUUAAAUGAUAUUGAUUGACAUUUUUCCUUUAGUAGAGCCUGAACUUACCAAUAACUGUAUACAUUCUGGAUAGUCUCUUCCCAGUUUGUUUGGGUUACAAUUUGCUCCUCCUUAGAUAUCAACUGUACUUGCUCUCUCUCUCUCUCUCUCUCUCUCUCUCUUCUCUCUCUUUCUCUCUCUCUCUCUCUCUUGGUGACAGAAGUCAUAUAUUAUGGUACAUUAGUUAUAGAGGAUGGAUAAAUGUUGCAAAAGUUUCUCUCUUCUUUUUCUUUCUCUUUUGUUUCUAUUACCUUAUUAGGAUAAUGUGCUAGCUAUAGCUGCUGCUUGCUGGAUAGGGGAUUGCAGGUAAUGUGCAGAAAAGUUGCAGCGCUGUAAAAGCCCACUUUCCUGUCUGGAUUAAUUGAAGCACGCAAAAAGUUGCUUAUCUUGAUAGAGAUUUCUCAAAAUGAGGCACCGAUUAAUUAAUGAUGUUCUGGACCUUUGCCAUUUAAACAACAUUAAUUAGCAACUGCAAAGUCAAUAACUUCUUUGAAGCAAGCUUUACUUGUGGUCAAGACUAUCAUGAAAUAGCUCCUGAAAGUCUUCUUUUUUUGGUGGUGAAAUGUUUGACAUGUUUGGUCCGGAAAAAUUGUUAUUCCAAUGAUGUCUGAAGACGCAAAAGGUAUGAAUUAUUGUGAAAAUGGAGUUAUAUAUAUAUAUAUAUAUAUAUUUGCUUCAAUGGAAGGCAUUAAUAAUUGGACAAGUUUGAUCAUUUUAGACAACAAAAACGGCAUGUGGAGCAGAAGCAUUCAUCAACAUUUCAAGGUAAAGUAGUUAUAGUUAGUGGAUGCAUACACAAGAUUUAUGCCUUAUCCAUUUGAUAUUAUUCACUAUGCAAUUUCCAUAUUAAUCAACCAAAAUUAACCUAACUUAACUAAUUAUGGCAAAAAUAAAAUAAAAGGAGGAACAACGCCAAUAUGUAAAUGUAUUAAUUAAUUAAAUCACUGCAUUUAACAAUAUUAAAUGUUUAAUAUAAUUCCAUAGUAACAUAUAAUGAGACUAACGUAAUUCGUGUCUAAUGAAAGUGAAGUUAAGGUACCUAGGAUUAAUUUAAAUCUUACCAACAUAAAAAAUUUUUUAAAUUAUGAACAAAAAAUCAAAUUUCAUGGAAAUCAAUUUGAAAAACAGUUUAAAAGAACCGGAGGUUGUUAUGUUUUUAAUUAAAAGUGCAUGUCCUCCUAUAGCUUGUGUUAGGCUCAGUUUCACAUUGAGUUCUCAAAUUUGGUUUUUCAUUUUUGUUAAAUAUUUUUAGUAAAUUAUGGUCUAAAAGAGUUAUUAUUUAUGUACUGUAUGAUUAUGUUUAAUCAAUGGGAUUUUUAUCUAACAGUGAAAGCGCAGCUGAGGCUCUCACAGGUUCUAGAUUCAGUUCUUUAUAAGCCAAAAAAAAGAAAAUUCAAGUGUAUUCUAUUUAUGGUGAUACUUAUGACUUCUACUAAUGGCAAAGCUAAGUAAUUUUGUUUCA